rnacentral:rRNA from 1 species
ACUCCUACGGGAGGCAGCAGUGGGGAAUAUUGCACAAUGGGGGAAACCCUGAUGCAGCCAUGCCGCGUGUGUGAAGAAGGCCUUCGGGUUGUAAAAGCACUUUCAGUAGGGAGGAAGGUAGUGUAGUUAACACCUGCAUUAUUUGACGUUACCUACAGAAGAAAGCACCGGCUGAACUCCGUGCCAGCAGCCGCGGUAAUACGGAGGGUGCGAGCGUUAAUCGGAAUUACUGGGCGUAAAGCGCAUGCAGGCGGCCUGUUAAGUCAGAUGUGAAAGCCCGGGGCUUAACCUCGGAAUUGCAUUUGAAACUGGCAGGCUAGAGUCUUGUAGAGGGGGUAGAA